rnacentral:rRNA from 1 species
ACCAAACAGCUAGCUUAAACACCUAGAUAGACGUAAUAACAUUAACACCUCUCAUAAAACUACAAUAAUUUAAACCAAAACAUUUUACCGCCCAAGUACGUGAGACAGAAAAGGCACACCCUUUAAAGCUAUAGUAAAAGUACCGCAAGGGAACGCUGAAAGAGAAAUGAAAUAAAUCAUUAAAGUUUAAUAAAGCAGAGACUAACUCUCGUACCUUUUGCAUCAUGAUUUAGUUAACCUAUUUGAGCAAAGAGAACUUUAGUUCAAGCCCCCGAAACUAAGUGAGCUACCCCGGGACAGCCUAUAAAUUAGGGCCAACCCGUCUCUGUGGCAAAAGAGUGGGAAGAUCCCCGGGUAGAGGUGACAGACCUACCGAACUUAGUUAUAGCUGGUUGCCUAGGAAAUGAAUAGAAGUUCAGCCUUGCACCCCUCAACGCUCACAAGCCUACUAGGCUACACGAGUAAGAGAGACAUGCAAGAGUUAGUCAUAGGGGGUACAGCCCCUAUGUUUUAGGAAACAACCUUUUCAGGAGGUUAAAGAUUAUAUUAACUAAGAUAAACUGCUCUAGUGGGCCUAAAAGCAGCCAUCUAGAUAGAAAGCGUUAAAGCUCCGGCAGGCAUAAAUCUAUUAUUCAAUUAUUAAAUCUAAAACCCCUAAUAAUACUAGGCUAUCCCAUGCAUUCAUGGGAGAAAUACUGCUAAAAUGAGUAAUAAGAAGUUAAACAUACUUCUCCCGGCCUUUGUGUACGCUAGAUUGAACCCCUCACUAGCAAUUACCGAGCCCACCAAAAGAGGGCACUAUGAAAAUAUCAAAUAACAAGAAAAUAUCACAUGAUUUAAUCGUUAAACCCACACCGGAAGGCCACUAAAGGAAAGACUAAAAGAAGAGGAAGGAACUCGGCAAACACAAGCCUCGCCUGUUUACCAAAAACAUCGCCUCCUGCAAAAUCCGAAGUAUAGGAGGUCUUGCCUGCCCAGUGAUAAAUUAAACGGCCGCGGUAUUUUGACCGUGCGAAGGUAGCGCAAUCACUUGUCUUUUAAAUGAAGACCUGUAUGAAUGGCGGAACGAGGGCUUAACUGUCUCCCUUCUCCAGUCAAUGAAAUUGAUCUGCCCGUGCAGAAGCGGACAUAUAUAUACAAGACGAGAAGACCCUUUGGAGCUUAAGAUAAAAGAUCAACCCCGUCAAGAGUAAUCAAAACUAAACUAAAUGGUAUCUGAUCCUUAUCUUCGGUUGGGGCGACCACGGGAGGAAACAAAGCUCCCACGCGGACCGGGGCUAAAGCGCCUAAAACCAAGAAAGACAUUUCUAAGUAACAGAAUAUUUGACCCAUCAGAUCCGGCAAUGCCGAUCAACGGACCAAGUUACCCUAGGGAUAACAGCGCAAUCCCCUUUCAGAGUCCAUAUCGACAAGGGGGUUUACGACCUCGAUGUUGGAUCAGGACAUCCUAAUGGUGCAGCCGCUAUUAAGGGUUCGUUUGUUCAACGAUUAAAGUCCUACGUGAUCUGAGUUCAGACCGGAGUAAUCCAGGUCAGUUUCUAUCUGUAAUGAUACUUCUUCCCAGUACGAAAGGACAGGAAAAAGAGGGCCAAUAUUAUCAACAUGCCCUACCCCUACUUAAUGAAAACAACUAAAUUUAGUAAAGGGGGACAUAACUCAACAAUCUAGAUAAGAUUAUUAAGA